UACGGGGGGGGCGAGCGUUGUUCGGAAUUACUGGGCGUAAAGGGCGCGUAGGCGGUUCGCUAAGUUGGAUGUGAAAACUCUGGGCUCAACCCAGAGCCUGCAUCCAAAACUGGCGGGCUAGAGUUCUGGAGGGGGUAGCGGAAUUCCUGGUGUAGCGGUGGAAUGCGCAGAUAUCAGGAGGAACACCGGUGGCGAAGGCGGUUCUCUGGGCAUUACCUGACGCUGAGGAGCGAAAGCAUGGGGAGCGAACAGG
rnacentral:rRNA from 1 species